UGGGGAAUUUUGGACAAUGGGCGCAAGCCUGAUCCAGCCAUGCCGCGUGCGGGAAGAAGGCCUUCGGGUUGUAAACCGCUUUUGUCAGGGAAGAAAUCUUCUGAGUUAAUACCUCGGGAGGAUGACGGUACCUGAAGAAUAAGCACCGGCUAACUACGUGCCAGCAGCCGCGGUAAUACGUAGGGUGCAAGCGUUAAUCGGAAUUACUGGGCGUAAAGCGUGCGCAGGCGGUUUUGUAAGACAGAGGUGAAAUCCCCGGGCUCAACCUGGGAACUGCCUUUGUGACUGCAAGGCUUGAGUGCGGCAGAGGGGGGAUGGAAUUCCGCGUGUAGCAGUGAAAUGCGUAGAUAUGCGGAGGAAACACCGAUGGCGAAGGCAAUCCCCUGGGCCUGCACUGACGCUCAUGCACGAAAGCGUGGGGAGCAAAACAGGAUUAGAUACCCUGGUAGUCCACGCCCUAAAACGAUGUCAACU
rnacentral:rRNA from 1 species